rnacentral:rRNA from 1 species
CCUACGGGGGGCUGCAGUGGGGAAUAUUGGACAAUGGGGGCAACCCUGAUCCAGCCAUGCCGCGUGUGUGAAGAAGGCCCUCGGGUUGUAAAGCACUUUCAGUGAGGAAGAACGCCUGGUGGUUAAUACCCAUCAGGAAAGACAUCACUCACAGAAGAAGCACCGGCUAACUCCGUGCCAGCAGCCGCGGUAAUACGGAGGGUGCGAGCGUUAAUCGGAAUUACUGGGCGUAAAGCGCGCGUAGGUGGCUUGAUAAGCCGGUUGUGAAAGCCCCGGGCUCAACCUGGGAACGGCAUCCGGAACUGUCAAGCUAGAGUGCAGGAGAGGAAGGUAGAAUUCCCGGUGUAGCGAUGAAAUGCGUAGAGAUCGGGAGGAAUACCAGUGGCGAAGGCGGCCUUCUGGACUGACACUGACACUGAGGUGCGAAAGCGUGGGUAGCAAACAGGAUUAGAUACCCCGGUAGUC